UGGGGAAUCUUAGACAAUGGGGGAAACCCUGAUCUAGCCAUGCCGCGUGAGUGAUGAAGGCCCUAGGGUCGUAAAGCUCUUUCGCCAGGGAUGAUAAUGACAGUACCUGGUAAAGAAACCCCGGCUAACUCCGUGCCAGCAGCCGCGGUAAUACGGAGGGGGUUAGCGUUGUUCGGAAUUACUGGGCGUAAAGCGCACGUAGGCGGACUGUUAAGUCAGAGGUGAAAUCCCGGGGCUCAACCCCGGAUCUGCCUUUGAUACUGGCAGUCUUGAGUUCGAGAGAGGUGAGUGGAAUUCCGAGUGUAGAGGUGAAAUUCGUAGAUAUUGGGAAGAACACCGGUGGCGAAGGCGGUCACCUGGCCCGCAACUGACGCUGAGGCGCGAAAGCGUGGGGAGCAAACAGGAUUAGAUACCCGCGUAGUCC
rnacentral:rRNA from 1 species